GUGAAUCAUAGAAUGUUAAGCACUUCACCAUGACUUAAGAUUAGAUUCAAGGAGACCUAUUAAGAAUAGAAUUUCUUGUAGGCUUUAUGAACCAAGGGGAUUAGCGCUGCUUUCCCAAGACGAGUUUAUGUGAUUAUGAUCUUCAGGCUUUGCCUAUCCAGGUUGGCUGGCCGGUGCUGACGGGACGAAGCUGAGGCUAGAGUUAAAUUCCUAUGUUAGACUUCCGCUUUAGCAAUUACUCAUAUCAGUCUUUUGUUUUCCCAGCUUAAGAUCUUCAUGUUAAAUUUCAAAUGAUAUACCUGACCGAGCUUAGACUCUUCACUACUAAAUUUAUGCUAAUGAAUGUCGGUUGUCAGAAGCAUGAAACAAAACUUGUGAUCCAAAGGGGCAUAGCCCGACUUAAUAUUUUAUUACUCGGCUUUAACAAGGUUUUUCCCUUGUUUAUUUCUA